GUAAAGCGCGCGCAGGCGGCUAUUUAAGUUGGAUGUGAAAGCCUAGGACAACCGUAGAACUGCAUCCAAAACUAUUUAGCUAGAGUGUGGGAGAGGAAGAUGGAAUUAGUUGUGUAGGGGUAAAAUCCGUAGAGAUAACUAGGAAUACCAAAAGCGAAGGCAACCUUCUGGAACACUACUGACGCUGAGGCGCGAAAGCGUGGGGAGCAAACAGGAUUAGAUACCCUGGUAGUCCACGCAGUAAACGAUGAAUGUUAGUCGUCGGGUAGCUAGUCUAUUCGGUGAUGCAGCUAACGCAUUAAACAUUCCGCCUGGGGAGUACGGUCGCAAGAUUAAAACUCAAAGGAAUAGACGGGGACCCGCACAAGUGGUGGAGCAUGUGGUUUAAUUCGAAGAUACGCGAAGAACCUUACCUAGCCUUGACAUAUUUUAGAACACCCUAGAGAUAGAGUGGUGCCUUCGGGAGCUAAUAUACAGGUGCUGCACGGCUGUCGUCAGCUCGUGUCGUGAGAUGUUGGGUUAAAUCCCGCAACGAGCGCAACCCUCGUCACUAGUUACUAACGGUUCGGCCGAGGACUCUAGUGAGACUGCCUUCGUAAGGAGGAGGAAGGUGAGGACGACGUCAAGUCAUCAUGGCCCUUACGGCUAGGGCAACAC
rnacentral:rRNA from 1 species